UAGGGAAUCUUCGGCAAUGGGGGGAACCCUGACCGAGCAACGCCGCGUGAGUGAAGAAGGUUUUCGGAUCGUACAGCUCUGUUGUUAAGGAAGAACGAGUGUGAGAAUGGAAAGUUCAUACUGUGACGGUACUUAACCAGAAAGGGACGGCUAACUACGUGCCAGCAGCCGCGGUAAUACGUAGGUCCCUAGCGUUGUCCGGAUUUAUUGGGCGUAAAGCGAGCGCAGGCGGUUAGAUAAGUCUGAAGUUAAAGGCAGUGGCUCAACCAUUGUAGGCUUUGGAAACUGUUUAACUUGAGUGCAGAAGGGGAGAGUGGAAUUCCAUGUGUAGCGGUGAAAUGCGUAGAUAUAUGGAGGAACACCGGUGGCGAAAGCGGCUCACUGGUCUGUAACUGACGCUGAGGCUCGAAAGCGUGGGGAGCGAACAGG
rnacentral:rRNA from 1 species